rnacentral:tRNA from 1 species
AGUGGGAUGGUCCAGCGGCAGGACGUCUGGCCCUGACCCAGAAGGCGUUGGUUCAACUCCAACUCCCACUGCCA